rnacentral:rRNA from 1 species
CCUACGGGUGGCAGCAGUGGGGGAUAUUGCACAAUGGGGGGAACCCUGAUGCAGCGACGCCGCGUGGGUGAUGGAGCGUUUCGGCGUGUAAAGCCCUUUUGGUAGGGAAGAAGAUGACGGUAUCUCACCAAGAAGCCCCGGCUAACUCCGUGCCAGCAGCCGCGGUAAUACGGAGGGGGCAAGCGUUAUCCGGAUUUACUGGGCGUAAAGGGUGCGCAGGCGGGAGUGUAAGUCAGGAGUGAAAUCCUGGGGCCUAACCCCAGAACUGCAUUUGAAACUAUGUGGCUAGAGUACAGGAGAGGCAGGCGGAAUUCCUGGUGUAGCGGUAAAAUGCGUAGAUAUCAAGAGGAACACCGAUUGCGAAGGCGACCUGCUGGACUGUGACUGACGUUGAUGCCCGAAAGCGUGGGGAGCAAACAGGAUUAGAUACCCCGGUAGUC